AGUCGAACGCUGAAGCUCCAGCUUGCUGGGGUGGAUGAGUGGCGAACGGGUGAGUAACACGUGAGUAACCUUCCCUUGACUCUGGGAUAAGCCCGGGAAACUGGGUCUAAUACCGGAUAUGACUCCUCAUCGCAUGGUGGGGGGUGGAAAGAUUUAUCGGUCUUGGAUGGACUCGCGGCCUAUCAGCUUGUUGGUGAGGUAAUGGCUCACCAAGGCGACGACGGGUAGCCGGCCUGAGAGGGUGACCGGCCACACUGGGACUGAGACACGGCCCAGACUCCUACGGGAGGCAGCAGUGGGGAAUAUUGCACAAUGGGCGCAAGCCUGAUGCAGCGACGCCGCGUGAGGGAUGACGGCCUUCGGGUUGUAAACCUCUUUCAGUAGGGAAGAAGCCUUCGGGUGACGGUACCUGCAGAAGAAGCGCCGGCUAACUACGUGCCAGCAGCCGCGGUAAUACGUAGGGCGCGAGCGUUAUCCGGAAUUAUUGGGCGUAAAGAGCUCGUAGGCGGUUUGUCGCGUCUGCCGUGAAAGUCCGGGGCUUAACCCCGGAUCUGCGGUGGGUACGGGCAGACUAGAGUGCAGUAGGGGAGACCGGAAUUCCUGGUGUAGCGGUGAAAUGCGCAGAUAUCAGGAGGAACACCGAUGGCGAAGGCAGGUCUCUGGGCUGUUACUGACGCUGAGGAGCGAAAGCAUGGGGAGCGAACAGGAUUAGAUACCCUGGUAGUCCAUGCCGUAAACGUUGGGCACUAGGUGUGGGGGACAUUCCACGUUUUCCGCGCCGCAGCUAACGCAUUAAGUGCCCCGCCUGGGGAGUACGGCCGCAAGGCUAAAACUCAAAGGAAUUGACGGGGGCCCGCACAAGCGGCGGAGCAUGCGGAUUAAUUCGAUGCAACGCGAAGAACCUUACCAAGGCUUGACAUGUUCUCGAUCGCCACAGAGAUGUGGUUUCCCCUUUGGGGCGGGUUCACAGGUGGUGCAUGGUUGUCGUCAGCUCGUGUCGUGAGAUGUUGGGUUAAGUCCCGCAACGAGCGCAACCCUCGUUCCAUGUUGCCAGCGGGUUAUGCCGGGGACUCAUGGGAGACUGCCGGGGUCAACUCGGAGGAAGGUGGGGACGACGUCAAAUCAUCAUGCCCCUUAUGUCUUGGGCUUCACGCAUGCUACAAUGGCCGGUACAAUGGGUCGCGAUACUGUGAGGUGGAGCUAAUCCCAAAAAGCCGGUCUCAGUUCGGAUUGGGGUCUGCAACUCGACCCCAUGAAGUCGGAGUCGCUAGUAAUCGCAGAUCAGCAACGCUGCGGUGAAUACGUUCCCGGGCCUUGUACACACCGCCCGUCAAGUCACGAAAGUCGGUAACACCCGAAGCCGGUGGCCCAACCCUUGUGGGGGGAGCCGUCGAAGGUGGGACUGGCGAUUGGGA
rnacentral:rRNA from 1 species